rnacentral:rRNA from 1 species
UACGAAGGGGGCUAGCGUUGCUCGGAAUUACUGGGCGUAAAGGGCGCGUAGGCGGAUGUUUAAGUCGGGGGUGAAAGCCCAGGGCUCAACCCUGGAAUAGCCUUCGAUACUGGACAUCUUGAGUACGGGAGAGGUGAGUGGAACUCCGAGUGUAGAGGUGAAAUUCGUAGAUAUUCGGAAGAACACCAGUGGCGAAGGCGACUCACUGGCCCGUUACUGACGCUGAGGCGCGAAAGCGUGGGGAGCAAACAGG